rnacentral:ncRNA from 1 species
AGUAACAACGAACUGUGAGGAGUCAGCAGAGGUCAUAGUACCUACUAAUAUCGACACGUAGGGAAGGAC